rnacentral:snoRNA from 1 species
GUUAAUGAUGAUUUUCCACAUUUCACGACGGUCAACUGUGUUUACCCCCGUUAAGGGUAAACUUUGAUGAUAUUUAGCCUGUGACAGGGCGUGGCGCUGAUA